CAAAAAACCUCACCACUGUUCCUAGAUCAGCACUGAAAUCAGAAGAUCAGCAAAUACUUGUGGCAAUGGCCCAACUGCCUUUGAUUCUCGACAAGAGAGAAAAGGGGAAAAGUGUGCCAGUACCACAACUAGUACACAUUGUUAAGAAAGACGAGAUGUGGCAAGAAAUAGCUGCUAAGCAUAAGAACUCCACAUCACCAUGGAUAAUGUACCAACGACAUGGAGACCAAGAAAUCAUAACCGUUAUGAUUAAACAGUCUAUGAUUAAAAAGGCCUCAUCAGCAGUUAAUGCAGUGCUGGCAUU